rnacentral:lncRNA from 1 species
CGCAGAAAGGCUCAUGGCGUCUAUGUCGUAAAUGAGCUGUGGAUUUGCUAUGCCCCUUCUCUUCAGCAACCCUUAUUUUUCUUGCCUGUACAUCUCUACUGUGGGAAUCACAGGGAAGCUGCUGCAGCACAACUUGAAAUAGAAAGCUGGAUGGUAUGAAUUUAGGACAAGAACAUGAGAAGAAGGGCUCCAGAGAGGAUUCAUUAAGAGCAUUUUCUGCUCUUCCAGAAGCAUCCGAGUUUGGUGUGGGCACCCAAGUCAUUAGGCUCAGAGCUGCUUGUACUAUACCUGCUGGAUCCAGAACUGCGGCAGGGUAAGACCAGCCAGGACAAGCCAGUGCCAGGUGGCACAGGUGUUUGGAAAAGGCCUGACGUGUACCCAACUGUGUGAAGGAAUGGGGGACCCAAAACACAGGGCAAAGAAUUAUGCUUCCAUCCACGAGAGCAAAGGUCUGGAUCCCCUAGGGUUGCCACCAGGAUCACCAGAAAGUUUGUUAAAUAGAGAAGCACUUGAUAGAAGGCACCUGGAUAAGGAUGGACAGAAAUCAGAGGCCUUGGCUAUCUGGAUUCUGACUUCUUCAAAAAGAUGAGAUGAUAGAUGAGAAAAGCCCGUCCGUGGUGUUAGAGACUUUGGCCCCACACCCAUGCCGUGCAGCUCUGCCAGGGCCUACCUGCUUGACUCAACCCUUUUUGUUCCCUCACCCUCUCUGGGUAACUGAGAGAUUUAUACCUUGG